UGUUGUUUUCCUAUCAUCCAAAUCACUUUUUGUUUAUACUAACUUUUUCUUUCCUCUUUUUACUCUCUCAAGCUCUUCCUUUCUUUGAAGCUCCCUCUUCUCUUUCUGACUAUCCCAUCUCUCUUGAAGGACGAAGAAUACAAUUCUUUCUCUAUGAUUUCUCUUCUCUCUCCAGUUCUUUGUUUUCCCUUUCGUUUGAAGACUAAUCACUCUGAGAUCAUAAGGAUGAAAAGGACCAAGAAUGAGGGCUUAAGCCAAGGACAGGAAUGAUAUCUAGGAAUUGAACGAAAAGUGUGUGAAUACAUAUGGAACAAAGAAAACACACUAAGGAGACCCGGUUACGCAACACCAAUGAAGGCAAACGGAGGUGGAUCUUGGACCAGACGGCAGGCGAAGGUGACUCGGUUGUGACUCUCAGAUUCAGAGGCAGGCGUGGAUCUCGGACUCAGAGGUAGGCGUAUAUUUAUAAAUACACAAUAUUGCUUAAACCUUAUCUUUUAUCAACCAGGGAGACAGUGUCAUGCUGCUGUGAGAGAAGUUAAGGAAGAAGAUAGAGCCCUGUAUGGAGUUUAUUAAAAAGAUGUUGAUAAGAGAAUGUUACGCCUAAGUGCCAUUAAAUCCAUUCCUACAGAUGCUAGACAAUCUCUUCCUCAAGAUGUUGAGAUUUCUACAAGCAUAUACUUCAACUCGCAGGAAGUCAAAGAUGCAUGUCCAGUUUGUUGCAAAAUUUGUACUUGUAAGGACUGCUUGGAAAAUCCAUCUAAAGACAGUGAAAGUAAGGACUUCUUGGGGGAUAAACAUGAAGUUGAAGUGAUACUGUGUUUCCAUUAUUUGAUUUGUAUGCUUCUUCCUGUGUUGAAACAAAUAAACAAAGACCAGAAUGAUGAACUAGAAAUAGAAGCAAGAAUAAGAGGUUGAUACUGAAUGCAGUAAGCAGCACUGCUGGUACGCAUGGAUAUUCCUUGCGAUGAUGUUCCAGAAAGUUGAAUUUACUUUCAUUUGGAGAAGAAGCUAAAGAAGAGGAGAAGGAAUUAGCAGCUGUAAAGAAAAAAAUCAAGAGCAGUCAUGAUGUACUUGAUGAUCCUCGUCUUCUAAAGGAUGCUAUUCCAAAUGAUGAAUUGGUAACUGUCUACUUUCUACAGCAGCACCUUUCUUUAAGAAAAUCAAUUUUAGUAGUACAACUCUGUUAAGUCCAUACCUCAUCUGAUGCACUUGCUGUUUUUUUUAAAUGUUACAUUUGAAGUCUGUUAAAAUAGUUAAGAUAAAAGUGUGUUGGUUUGGUGUGAUUAUGUGUAAAUUUCCCUGUCAAUUUACUUUAGGAACUUUCAUAUCUUAUAAAAAUUAUCUAUACAUAUGCAUACACACUUUAAAAACUUGCAAGCCUACUGGUACACAUUAUGCAUAAUUCAAAAUCUCAGAUAUGUAUAACUUCCUUGUUGUAUAGUAUGCAAGUCAAGGUAUCUGUUCUAUGUCUAAUUGAACUAUAAUAAAGGUUUUGCUCUUUAUUUUUAAUU